AUACGUAGGGGGCGAGCGUUAUCCGGAAUUACUGGGCGUAAAGGGUGCGUAGGUGGUUUCUUAAGUCAGAAGUGAAAGGCUACGGCUCAACCGUAGUAAGCUUUUGAAACUAAGAGACUUGAGUGCAGGAGAGGAGAGUAGAAUUCCUAGUGUAGCGGUGAAAUGCGUAGAUAUUAGGAGGAAUACCAGUUGCGAAGGCGGCUCUCUGGACUGUAACUGACACUGAGGCACGAAAGCGUGGGGAGCAAACAGGAUUAGAUACCCUGGUAGUCCACGCCGUAAACGAUGAGUACUAGCUGUCGGGGGUUACCCCCCUCGGUGGCGCAGCUAACGCAUUAAGUACUCCGCCUGGGAAGUACGCUCGCAAGAGUGAAACUCAAAUGAAUUGGCGGGG
rnacentral:rRNA from 1 species